rfam:Procavia capensis cont1.725520, whole genome shotgun sequence.
CUUCCUAGAUUCCUCCCAAGGAUGUCCAUGGCAAUGGUAAUUCAUUCUGACUCUCUGGUGAACCCACUGGUCAGAGAGUCUCAGUGUAACCGACAGGCGGGUCUUAAGGCUAGGCUUGACAAAUGACAAGAUUUCUGCAUUUUCAAA